rnacentral:snRNA from 1 species
AAAAUGGUGGUUCAUAUGA